ensembl:lncRNA
UGUUUAGAGUAUUCCAGUUUGCAUGAUGGCUGCGCUUACGACUCAGGAACUGCUUGUCAGGGCCAGAGAGGAGGAAGCAGGUAGCUGUGAACAUGGCCGUAAAACACCAAGUGAAUACCAGGAGGCCGCAGAGGAGCUGUAUAUUACUUCAGGACUCCUGUCUAUCAAAAUACACGUGCAGAGGACCCAUCCAAACAACGACAAAGAAGGAGAGGUUGCUGAUGGAGGACGUCAUCACAAUAGACAUUGUAUCCUGGUGAAGAAGGCUCCAAACCACUACGCAGACUAUAUUCUCCCUAUAAGAAAUGAGCCACCUGCAGCCUCCCCUGUCCCACAGUGCCCACUACUGAGAAAAGCCAACGGUCAGAGAGAGUUUGUGCCCUGGGGCCAUCGAGACAUGUAAGCUCUGGAGAAGGCACUGCCGCCAUUGGGAGAAGGAGCUAACCCAUGGAUCCGGCUCUUUGAAAAAUACACAACGGCUGAUAAAUUGGCACUUGGAGAUAUACGGGCUUUAGUAGCCCGUCUAGAGGGAACAGUCAAUUUGAGAGCCUUAGAAGCAAGAGCGGGAACCACCAACCAAGAGGAUGAGGCUCCAUUUGAUAAGGUCAGAGGAGUAUUUUGGGCCACAAUGCGAAACAUCUGGCCUACAAAGCCAAGCAUGUCCAUCCUGAUGGGUCUGAGUAUGAAACAAGGUGAAGACAUGUCUCAAUAUCUGAGGAGAGCAGAAACAGAAUGGCAUUUGACCACAAGAGAAAGACACGACAAUAACAAAUCUACUGCAGUAACCUGGCGACACACUGUGCAGCAAGGCUUGCCCCAGGCUGUUCAAACAGCGUUGGAGGGAGUAGUGGGACUGGACGACAUGGAUGAAAUCACAUGGAGAGACCAUCUAACCCACUUCUACAAAAUACAGAGAGCUGCGGAGACAAGGAGGCAAGAAGAACUGAGGACGAUGACGCAUCGACUCCUGGAGAUCCAACUGGCAGCAGCAGAUGCAGAAGCAACGAAAAAACAGAGAGUCAGGAAACAACUGUCGGUGAGAGAUGAACAACCUCAAUACCCCGUUCCUCCAGAGGCCCAAUAUCCAGCCCCAGCAGUCAGAGACCGUUCAAUGGUUGACCAGCAACCACCACCUCAGCGCAGAGGCAGAGGACGUGGAAAUAAUAGGGGAAGAGGAGAUGAAUGCUACUUAUGCGGACAGAUGGGUCAUUGGUCAAGAAUAUGUCCAACGAACAUGCAGUUCAGUGCAGCUCCUCCACGGUCUUCCCGUCAAAUGCAGCCCCGGCAGGACCAGAGGGUCUAUCUCACCUCCACCCCCUCAUGCAAACCCCACAGCAGACGAGGCCCUAAAACAACUAACUGGUGACACACCGACCCCCGCUGCUUUCCAACAGCUCAGAUAAGCACCCUCAGUCUCUACGGUGUACGACUCACAUUCCAGGUAGAAAAGGGAGACUGGAGAUUACAGACGGCUGAGAGUGUCAGCUCAAACUAGACUUAAACCCGUAGGGAAGAUUGAUUUUAAAAAGGGGAAAUCAGUCAUUGAAAUUAAGAGAUAAGGUUGUGUAAGAUUUAAAUGAGGAAUGAAGGUGAUAAGGAAUUAGGAGAGUUGUUGUAUAUAUUGUCGAUUUUUUGGAUUAAUGUUUGUAGUUUUUUGAGUUUUCUCCUGAAUUCAGAGAUGGGCGGUAAAUUGUUGAGUGCUGUUAUUGAGUGUAUAGUGCACGAUACACUUGAUACAGUAUCUUGAUGAUUGAAGCAAAUGUCUGAUCAAAGGAACAUUUAUAGCACCAGAUCACGAAAUAUGGAAAUUUGUUACCGACGGUCAUCCUGUAAUGUUCAACAAGUAGUACACCCUUACAUUUGGAUACGCUAACCAUGAGAGGUUGGUGAUCUAUCAUUAAUGAAUGAAUGGAUUGGAUCAAACUCAGCACGUGCUUUUGGGCUGAAGAGCAAUAAAAGUGGAGAUUAACACUGGAGGGGGGUCUGGAACAGAUGGGUCUGAUGCUAAGUUGAUUUAUUAUCUCCUGGUACUAUUUGGGAUCAAGGGACUCACAAUCUUCAUUGUUGUUUUAUGACCCUGAAGGGUUUGGAGAACCUUUUGUUUAUAUUACAGGGGUUUGAGGAUCACAUUCUGAUACAUUGAUUGAAGUUUUAGAGACUGAUACUGCAAAUGCUCGACCACUUGUGAAAGUGGUCGCAAAGGUCAGCAAAUUGACAGUAAUGAUGGAGGCCUUCAGUGAGGCCAUCGAAUGGUUUAUUUUAAUGGGGAAGUGGUAAAAAUGGGAAAACAGGUUGAAGAGUUAUGCAGUAAUGCAUAGGUUUUCAAAGGUGAUGACUCAUCAUGACAGAGCAAACAGGCUGAAGGUAAAAGGAGAAGAAAUUGACUGUGAGGGUGAGAAUGAGAGGUAACAUUUUUGUGUAAACUUGGUAUGAGCAGAUUGCUUUGAGGUUAGACUGAACAAAGAGAACUUGGUUGGUCAAUUAGUUCAUGAAGACAUGGAACAGUCAUACACCAUGAGGGUGAGACCUACAAGCAAAACCUCAAAGGGAUCAUUGAACGGGGACACGAAGGCAAUGUUGGUGUUAAUUUUUCAUGAGUUGACUAUGGGGGUCAAUAAUCAGUUAUGUCGAAGAUUCCAAAUUUCUAUAAAUAAAUGGCUCCUCAAAUCGGUUGGAAACAAGGCCGUUUGAGAAAGGCAAUUUUCCAAAACAAUGUGUAAAUACUUUAGGAGCAGAUAAAGAUAUGCAGAGGCAUUCUUUACGUCAACGCAUCACAUUCUUCAUUCAGCUGAGGCUCUAAUCCAAAGUGACUUGCAGGAAGUGAAUUUGAACAAGAGGGAACAGAACCAGAACAGCAAGAACAAAGAAGAGAUUUCUCCUUCUAAGAAAGCAACAUUUGUGAGUGUCAUCCAGGUGCUAAUUCUUCAGUUGUAGUAGUAGGUAGGUAUGUGUGUUUAUUUUGUUCAUUAGGGAACUCCUUCCACCAUCAGGUGAACAUCAGGAGUCAGGACAAAUGAUGACUUUGUUGGGAGUUUAGCUCCCAGUAGGAGAAACAAUAGGCAGAUGCUGAGAUGGGAGUGAAUUAGGGACGAGGAUAGAUUUCAAAGGGGAUGCAGAGGUUGAAAGGUGAUGGCGACUCAUGGUCGAGGAGGGAGUGAGCAGACCUCCCUAAACCAACGACUGAUAAGAGGAGGAAUCCUGGGGAAGUGUCGGAGCCAUAAAAUCCAUCCACAGGUUGUAUUUCAUCUCAGAGUCACCCAACAGGUUUAAGAAUCACACACGGUUGGUAUGGGGGGAAUUAUUUCACUAUGAUAAAUUUACUGACACAUUUUUCCUCGAAUACAUGUGCAUGGCAAUUGUUAACUAUGUUUUGCUUUUCAGUAGGAGCAGGCGACUCCAAUGCGAGACGGUCCAGAUCGGCAACGACACCCAGUAGAAACGGCGUUGUGGGGGUUUUACGACGUUGUUGGAUAAGCCAGGAGGUGGCCUGGGGGUGAUUAGCAUCACCAAAGGCUAUGUGAAGGGAUGCUUUUACACCUACCUCAACAUGAGGGACUGGGGGAGAACAGAAUACAACUAGAGUAUCUGCCGAUUUGGGAACAUUAUUGUAUGCAGUGAAAAACACAAUCAUAAGAUUCUAAACAACAGAGUUGUGUAGAUGACAUUGAUUUAAGGUGUUAAGAAGAACAUACAGUCGUUCUAUCAAUGAAACAACUCACAAAUUGAUUAGAAUGUUUUUAGGAAAACACUAGAUGUUAGAGUUUAGCUACUCAAGUGGCAUUUUACGGAUAACAGCAGACGAUGGCCAACGCAGGAAGAUCCAACCUGAACUUUUCUUCCUGGAACGAAUGUGUAAUGACAUUGCUCUUCUCAUACACAGGCACAAGGACUGAUGAGACACACAGAUGAUACAAUUACUCCACAUUAAAAGAAAUAGCUAAAACUGGGAAAUAAGUGGGUAAAAGGUUGAGUUCCAGUUAUGUUUAAAUAUGCACACACUAGAUGGUAGAACUUGUUUGCUUGAAGAGUUUGGUAAACCAGAAGAAAGAGCAACAGGAAUUGGGAGAGCACACACACACACACACACUCACACGCACAUCUAGACACACCUACACACACACGCACACACAUAGCUGCACCACUUGUGCUUCUCUAUUCAACAGCCGAUUGGGGAAUCUUGUCCUAAUGGGACCUCCGGUUAGCAGAGCAGUCUGCUCACAGGAACUGAGGUGAUCCGAGGUCCAAGGAGGGAGCGUGAAGCUUAAUCACACGUCUAGGAUGACAGCUACGUGUCAUCUGACCAAACCGCUGGCAACAACAGAUGUUCCAGCAGAGGAACAUCAAGGAGGAGAAAAGGUGUGAAUAUGACAUCUGGAUUGCCACCUACUGAGGGUGGUCAUGACUGUGCAGAAGUAGCUAGGAAGGAGACGAAGGUGACGAACGCAGAGACAGCCGCCAGCCAAGGGAAGCAGGUUCCAGUCAUACCGCCAGGAAGCCGGGUGUGGAUUAAGGCCCAUAAACGCAAGUGGAGUGAUCCAAGGUGGACCGGUCCUUGGGAGGUAGUAUUGGCAACAUCACACUCGGUGAAGGUGAAAGGUAAAGCGGGAGCCACUUGGCAUCAUCUCACACAUUGUGCACCUGCUAAGGCACCAAGCCAGACCCUUGCGGAGACCCGAUUAAAUACCAGGCAAGUUAAUUCAGAGCCAAAAGACACAGGAGGGGACAAAGCAGCAGAAAAUGUCUCGCCCACAGCUGAAGGAGACCACAUUUCAAGACUUGAUUUCACCACAUCCUCACGUCGCCAGGAGAGCGAAGAGAUCCACUAGUCCUGCGGGCUCAUUUGAUAGUCAUGUGUACUUAGAUGCCAUUGGGGUGCCCAGGAGGGUGCCAGAUGAUGUUGAAUUCCAGAAUCAGAUCACUGAAUCAGCUGAAUUUGUGGACAAUAAUAAAAUGUUGAUUGGAUGAAACUGCAUUUAAUGGCAGACAGGUGCUACAAAUGAAGACCUGCAUGAGUCAUUGGAUGAAAUGAGACUCAUGGCCUAGAAUAAUAAAGUGGCUUUAGACAUGAUCUUGGCAGAGAAGGGAGGAGUCUGUAGAAUGUUUGGAUCUGCCUGUUGUACUUUUAUUCCCAAUAACACAGCCCCUGGUGGCUUGGUGACCAGAGCACAAGCCCCACUGACAGCUUGAACCAGCAGCUGGCAGACAACUAAGGCGACGACAAUCCUCUCACCAACGGGUUUGUCAGUAUUAUUGCACAACGGAAAAGUGCAUUCCUGUCUGCGUUAACCCUUCUUGUGUUACAGUCAUGAUCUAGUCCACUACGAAUGAAGCUGCAUCUCCUGCAUCCUUGGAUUCCUGCAGGGAUUGAUCGAUACUGUGUUUAGUGAGACUAGUAUACAGGGAAAUCGGUAGCGAGUAGAUGAUGAGGGACAAUCACUGUUGACGGAUGUGACUGUAUGAUAAUUUUUCUGUCUUUGAGAGAUGCUCACAGUGAACUGUGAGCAAGGAGGGAAUUGUUAGGGAUUUAAGCCAGAAGUGCACCCCUAGUCAUAGAAUUGUAGUACGUGUAAUGAUGUUUAGUGUUAGAAUUAUAGUUUGUGUUAUUAGAUAUUAGUUAUUACAUUAACAUGUUAGAUGAAGUGAAUACAAUGUGAAUCAAACACAAUUCAUAGUCAUUUAAAUCAUAUAAACACUGUAACAUUAACAUUCUGUCAUGAUGUGAUGUUAAAACCUGGGGACGGAUGCCAAUUGCCGUUCUUUAUGGAUUUCUCCCAAUUUUAUCCCCAAAAAGGGUUUUUGGGAGUUUUUUCUCCUGUCAGGUACUAAAUGAACAACUUAAUGUAAGGCAGCCGACUGAGGCAAAUGUCUUGAGAAUUGAACCACAUGAACUGUUUUAGAUCUUAUGAUGAAGUGUGAUGAACGGUGAUCAUUAGUGAUGGGUUGUUGUAAUGAAAGUGUACUAGUUAUAAGAUGAAGACUUAAACGCUGUAUGCUUUGUUAAAUUCACUCAUUGGGGCAUAAAGCCGAAUGUAUCUACAUUGAGUGCAUUGGAAUGUGAGGGACAGCUAGGACAGAGAGGUUUCAGGUUACAGCUGCAGCUUCACACCUCGACGUGGAAGGGACAAUGGAGGAGGUGACCCUUUGGAGAAGAGGCCAAUGACAUUCAAAUGCACCAAGGAAGACACACCUCAAGAGGUUUCAAAGGACCAUGGGGGGGAAAGACUGUUAGAACUUCUCCUGCAGCCGCGUUGAUAAGUCACUUCAGACUUGCUCAGAGAAUUCUCUAUUUCGCGAAAUAUUCCACUGUUCGCUUAGUAUUUCACUUUGUAAUUGUAAUCCCUAUUACGUUGUUCAGUUAUUAAAUAACUUUUGAUUUUUGAAUUUAAACGAAUUGACUCAUUCGUGUCCUCGUUUCCGGCCGGGACGAGAACAGAGGAUUGAGUCCUCCCUCGAGAGCUUCC